rnacentral:lncRNA from 1 species
UCAACUCUCUGUAAAAUGGACCAGUCAACAGGAUGUGGGUGGGGUCAUAUAAGGGAAUAAAAGCAGGCUGCCCGCGCCACAAGUGGCGACCUUCUCGGGUUCACUUUCACGUUGUGAAGCUUUGUUCUUUCAUCACUGUUUGCAGUAUAUUUUGCUGCUGCUUACUCUUGGGGUCCAUGCCACCUUAAGAACUGUAACACUCAACCAUAAAGGUAUGGAGCUUCACUGCUGAAAUCAGCGAGACCACGAACCCACCAGAAGGAAGAAACUCUGAACACGUCUGAACAUCAGAAGGAACAAACUCCAGACACACCAUUUUUAAGAACCGUAACACUCACCUCGAGGGUCCACGGCUUCAUUCUUGAAGUCAGUGAGACCAAGAACCCACCAAUUCCGGACACAGCAGGAUAAGAAAGGAAAAUGGGGACUUGUUUUACACAUGAUUUGAAAGAUGGUUGAAUCCAUGGAUGUGGAACCCACGGAUAUGGAGGGCUGACUUUGUUCAACUAUGCUAAUCCUUUGGCCAGGUCACAUCCCUGUACUUCAGCUACUUUAUAAUCUGAAAGCUGUUCCUGCAUGGAAAGGAUACCCCAUGAUUCUCCUACCACCAGAUGCUACUGAGGCUAAACUGAUUAGACUGAGUAAAAAUAUCUAUGGGGAAAACUGUCUUUCAGAAUCCUACUUUGAACUAGAGAAAUCCAUUCUCUUGAGGCUGUCUGCUGUGGAGAAGUUGGCCUUAUCAAUCUGCCUUUGGAGUUCAAGUUAUACAGGAUCUGCAAGGCUACCUGUGACUGAAUGGUUGGUUGGUCAUUACAAAGUUUUUCAGGAGCUCCUGAAAGAUUACUGCAUAAGCAAGGGAGGAUGGAGACCAGACCUCUGGCUACUGUUGCUGCCACCACCACAGCCACCACUUUCAUCCUCGUGA